rnacentral:rRNA from 1 species
GCUAGUAAUCGCAGAUCAGAAUGCUGCGGUGAAUACGUUCCCGGGUCUUGUACACACCGCCCGUCACACCAUGGGAGUUGGGAAUGCCCGAAGUCAGUGACCCAACCGUAAGGAGGGAGCUGCCGAAGGCAGAUUCGAUAACUGGGGUGAAGUCGUAACAAGGUAAC